CUCAUAAAUGCCUUUGGAACCCUUCUCACAAGGGAUUAAUGUGUUCUUUCAUAAAAGUGCUGCCGUGUUUUGCCUGGGUUAGGUUAUAUAGCUGCUCACGGAAUAUUUACAUGUAGCUCGCCCUUAUAGCUUAUGGGGCACUUCACUGGCUAGGGAAAGAAAAAGGAUAGAGAAAUAGGAAAGGAGUGGACCAUCGUUGGAAAAAUGUGGGAAAGAUGAGGAUAUAAUGGUCGAAGGAUAUUCAACAGACCUCUUCAUAGUCCAUUCAUUAGGGUUGGGGAUGAAUGAAACCAAUCAGAAGUGCAAAUCACGCGAGCGAAUCUGGGAACCUAGCAAUAGCAACUUUGUUGGAGUAAGAUUUUUUUCUUUGAGAUGGAGAAUGCCAAGAUGAGUAUGAUGCGUCAAGGAGUGUUAAUAUUUGACACUACAUAUCUAUUCAGAGGAUUAAAUAUUGUAGAAAUUUUGUUUUUCU
rnacentral:lncRNA from 1 species